UUCCUCCCCAGUGAAACACAAGCAAGGCAGAAAGGAAGUCCGAAAAAAGAUCAUUAACGAGAUGUUAGCUCUAAAACGUUUGAGCCUCGGCAAGCCUUCGUCUUUACGACAGCUUUACAGAUGCCACGUAUGCUGUAAAAACAUCUACAGCAACACAGGCUGGUGUAAAAAGGUGCACGAGGCGACACAUGAGGUCAAAAAAACAGAGGAGAAGCAGAAGAAGACGUGUGACUGCUGGAAACAAAACAUCCAUUAAGAACCUGGUAGAAAAAAAAAGCAAGAAGUGUACCCGAGGGAGGUCAAUAUCGAGCUAACCUCGCCUCAGGAGCCCAAGCCGCUACAUGGAUGCUUCUGUUCUCCUCCUCAACGCCUGGAGGCUUGUGGACUCUAGAAGUGCCUUUGGGAGUCUGCCAGAGUGCUGCUGGCCUUUUCGCCUUCAAUUGGAAUUCCAUCUGAAGCCUCUGAUUGUUCCAGGUAUGCUGUGUGUGUUCGUGUGUGUGUGUGAAGCUGGCUGAAAUUCGGCUCAUUUUACGGCCAGCGGACCACAGGAUUGUUGUCGGGACACCUUCAGCCAGCUAGAAGUAAAAACCCAGCAACAACAUUCUCUCCUUUCUUUGAACUUUUGCUUGAUGAACAGUGGCAGGCAGAGGAUGGAUACUCGUACUAGCAACUGAAGUACUCGACGGUUCGCACAUACGACCCUCUGCAGUUCUUCCCUUAAGAGUACCAUCAGCACCUCCCAAAAAAAUCCUUAAGUUGUCGCCAUAUGAACAGUUCAGGCCACGGCUUCGGUGGCCAUCAAACAGAAAGAUCUCAGAGGACGUUUGUCCCUCAAGGUAGGUUCAUGCCGUGUUGUUCCAUCUCGGACAUACUAGGGGUAAGUCCAGGCUGCCAAGGCAGGCUAAGGCAUCAUCCGUUGGCUCAUGGAUUACCUGGAGGCCACCUGGUCAGCAUCUGAGGGCCAGUCUUACACAAGAGGAAAACCAGGAUCACCAUCACAUGCCAACGCCAGGCUGUCUUUUGGCCGUCCUGCUGUGGGUUGUACAGAUAGAAGGGAUCCCACGACUGGAUAUCCACUACUUCCUCCCAAGGUCCAAGCCCGCUGGUUUUGAUGCGGCGUCCUCAAUGAGGUCUUGGUUUGAAAAUUCAGUCUUUUUCCAUAAUCGCCGAUCUUGGUCGGGUUAGGACCGAGGUGCCAGAAUGCAGAUCUUUUAGUCGGAAUGGCUUGUGUACAGCGUGGACCGCAUGGAGGUUGCCAUCUCUCACACCAGCAGCUCCUCAGGGGGAAGCAGCAAGACCACUGAAACCACAGGAUGCUGUCUGUCUGUCAGUCGCCAUGGUUACGCGUGUGUACGCAAAGCGGAGGAAGACCAAGUGAAGGCUCGGAGUGUGUGGAGGGAAAAAGACUGAAUGGGUAGAAAGAAACGUUUGCCUUCUGACAUUACGUUCAUCCUCUUAAUGUGGAUGAAUGUGUUAAUUUGAUUAAUCUUAUGUUAAUCUUACAUGGCAUUCAUCUUGUUAAUUUUACAUUACGUUCAUCCUCUUAAUCUUACAUUGUGUUAAUUUGAUUAAUCUUAUGUUCAUCUUACAUUGCAUUCAUCUUGUUAAUUUUACAUUGCAUUCAUCCUCUUAAUCUUACAUUGUGUUAAUUUAAUUAAUCUCAUGUUCAUCUUACACUACGUUAAUCUUACAUUACAUGAAUUUUAUUCAUCUUAUAUUGCAUUCAUAUUGUUAAUCUUACAUUAGAUACAUUUGAUUAAUCUUACAUUCUGUUUAUCUUACAAUAGAUUAAUCUUAUUAAUCUUACAUUACAUUCAUCAUGUGUGUGUGUUUGUGUAGCAGUGUGUAUGUGCACGUGUGUGUACUGGAACAUUUGGACGUCAGUGAACUGGUGUAUCUGCAGAUGCUUUUGAACUUGUUAUCUUCACAAUAACUCCAACAGCGGCUGAGAUGUGACCUCGCCGUCACCCUGCAUUCCAGAACGGGGGCUGGGAUAACGGCGGUCACGCAGCAACAAUAUCCUGUUACACAUAUUUGGGCCGCCACCAUCAAAGCGGCAUUAUCUCCGGUUGACCCCCACGAGGCCAAACCUGCUCUCCUCACGCUGCUGAGGAGCUGCUGAGUGGGCGUUUUCUCCUAAUGGGAUUUCCUUAUCUCGUUUUUGUAAGUAGAACAUCGCUGGCAGGAGAUGGACGGAAGGAGGAUGGAUGGACGGAGGCUCUGUUUGGAUCUUUAAUUCAAUUCCUUCUCUUAACUCUCUACACAGGAGCAAGGGGUUCAGUAUCUUGGCCAAGGAUACUUCCACAUGAUCACGGGAGGAUAGAACCCGCAACCUUCAGGUUGGGAGACGACCACCGUACCGCGUGAGCCAUGCCGCCCAGGUUGCGGGGGUGCUGGAGCCUAUCCCAGCUGUCUUCGGGCGAGAGGCAGGGUACACCCUGGACUGGUGGCCAGCCAAUCACAGGGCACAUAUAGACAAACAACCAUUCACACUCACAUUCAUACCUAUGGACAAUUUGGAGUCGCUAAUUAACCUAGCAUGUUUUUGGAAUGUGGGAGGAAACCGAGGAAGGAACAUGCAAACUCCACACAGAGAUGGCCGAGGGUGGAAUUGAACCCUGGUCUCCUAGCUGUGAGGUCUGCACGCUAACCACUCGACCUCCGUGCCGCCCGUUAUUAUUAAUCGGAUUAUUCCUAUAAUAUUCCUAUAAUAUUUUGACUUUGCUGAUUUUUACACUUUUGCAGCUUUCGUUUUUUUUUUAGUUUUCUUGUUAAAUGGUAUUCCACCAGGGGAUGGGCACUGGGGGCCAGCCACAGCAAUUAUGGCAAAGGGGCACCCACUUGGCCCCAUUUGGACCCCCCCAUCCAUAAUAAUGAGUGAAGCUAUCACAGACGAUGUUGAUCAGAAGGACAAUGACGUGGUCACACUUCCAUGAGUUGUAAAAGUGUGAGAAGGCGUAAGAAGAAGAGAGGGGGGGCGUCCACGGAUGAAGACGGAGCGCUUCCAUCUCGGCGUCCUUGUCGCGGCGCGUACUUCAUCACGCUGACAACAUCGCCUUUGCUCAAGUCACCCGUCAAGGUCGUUAAUGAGUCGUUACAACCUUCUUCCGCCGCAUUCCUCAACUUUAAUAACGCGUGCCUUUGCCCGGCUGUAUAGCAGACGGGCUAGCUUUUGGCUGACCCGGGCCCCGCCCCGAUUCCGCCCAUCCGUGACAGCCCUUUCGUCCCCACUCUCCUCCUUGACUUUGACGCGGGUGAUUUAGAUCCUGCAAGUCGUGCCACAAAUGAUCCGUCAUUUGGAGCGAGGCCUCUGCUUCCUGCUAAUACGCUCCAUGGAGGCUUCAAUGUUCUUCUGUCUUCUUCUCUUUGUCUCCUGGACCACACAAUGGGAAAAAUGAAGCGUCAGCCCCCCCGCCGCUUAAAAUGGACAAAGACGAGAGCCGUCCAUACUCAGCAAAAGAUUUGGUGUCUCCGCCAGGGGAAGUGACCCGUGUGACAGAAACUCUGCGGGUGUAUGGCUCUGCUUGGCACCUUCAUAAAUCCACCAAAAAACCUACUUCCUGCCAUACAUCCAGUCAAAUACGCCACAAAAAUCUGUUCCUUAAAGCAACUUUGUCCAAAGUGUGCCCGAGGGCCAUUUGCUGCACGUGGGUGUUUUUUUUUUUGUCUGCAGCCCACUUGCUGUAAUGGCUGUGACUGGCUCCUCACACAUGAGCACCUGGGGGUUGGAGAUGGAGAGACUGCCAUCAAGUGAAAAGGUGCUUCGUCAGCGUGGCAUCGACCACAGCGGCGCCGAGAUCGCCCACGCGAAGGAAACAUGAACAAGCCUGCAAUGCAAAGAAGUAAAGCCCUGCGCUCCUCCAUGUUGUCCGGCUUUACACGUGGAAAUCCAUCUGCGCCUUUCCACGGCAAAGGGAUUCACGUUUUUAGUAUUCUGCGAGUCAUGGCAAAAAGAAGAGACGACGAAAAAGACGAUGCUCCAGCUCCUCUGUCUCCAACACAACUUUCUCCAAUGGCGUUUCCAUGUCAACAGGUUCUGAUGAACCCAGGGAGCCGGGACCUGGGAAGUGACGCUAGCUAGCUAGCUACUGAGUGUUAAGAAGGGGGAACACGGAGGUCAAACCAACAACCUGCCACCGACUGCGACACCACCUGAUCACCAUCUGGCCCUGCGGCUCAACACCAGCGUCGUUUCCCCAAAUCAGAACCAACCCAAGAGGAUGCUAGCAGCUUAGCGCGUCCCCGCUAGCAGCAAGCAGGCACGCUGCCCGGAACGCCGGGAUUGAGGCCGUGCCAGACGAGUACCUGCUUACAGGCGGAACAUGGAAGAGCGCAGCUGGACGGAUGUCUCCAUCACGCACGAGACAAAACGUGAAAGACGGCUUGGUGCUCGUGCCAAGCUCUGCCUUCAGAGCAAAGAAACGUGGAUGAUGGAUGGAAGCCGUGUUUCCAUGGUAAUCAGGGGUUGGGGUGGGGGGGACCCCCCCCCCCACUCUCCCGAGAGAGGAAACAAGAAACCAUCUAAUCUGAUCACCACAACCGGAUCAAUAAGGCUGGCUCGUCUGCUGCUCCCGCAGUCAUCAACUCCAAUUAGGAAAGCAUCAACGCCUGGAGGAGAAGCGCUUGGCUGGCCUCUGUUGCUAGGCAACCAAAUCAGCAUCAUCCUGUCUUUGCACACUUUGGUGCAAAAUCUUGUGAUUUUUAUUCUUGGAAUUUUUCUCUACCUACCUAACCACCCAUCCACCCACCAACCAGCCCAACCCCACCCACCACCUACCAACCUCUUUUCUUUGGAAAUAAAGUUUUACAGAAGUUUUACUUUGUGUCUUCAGAUGAGAAAACCGUGCAUUCCAGAUCCCUGCAGGAUGUUCCUUGCCGUGAAGUAUGAAGCAAGAUGCUGACUACGUGCACACUACGUCCACCCGUAUACAAGAAGCACGCAGUCAGCUGUUGUUUAUCCCGUGCGAGCGUGCAGCAUUUGGUGGACGCCGUCCCACCGGGCCGCCGUCCAAGCUAAUGCCUACCUGCUGUGAUUUGUCCAAACUGGCAGAGGCUCAGACACGCACCUGCCCGCUGCCUCCGUGCAUGCUCUCGUGCCGCCGGGCACCAGAUGGAACGUCAGGGACAAAAAGGACGCGCUGCAAGCUUGACCAUGCGUGAAGCCUUGCAGACCCCGACUGAGAGGGGAAGAGAGCAAGGGAGUAAAACGUGUAAAGUGAUCAUUGCAUAUUUCAUCAGACCACACUUUGGAAAAUAAAGCUUCCUCUUCCUGUCUCACAUGCCAUAAAGUACACGGCGAGCAGCUGCUCGCUUUCACGUCCAACCUCUUUGACUGCCUAUCAGGUUUUUAAAGUGGACCAGGUCUAAUAACACGAUAGAAACAUACCUUGACUGCACUUUUUAUCAACCUUGGGCCCUGUAGGUUCAUCUAACCCAGGCUUGAGAAGUCUACGUCUGGUGGUUUGGACCACUUUAGUCAGACCUGAUGAAAAAAAGGUUAAGUUGGAAAAAAAAAGUAAUGAGAAAAAAUAUAUAUUCAUGCGUAAAUAUUGUGGUUAUCAUGUUGGCCUCGAGUACAUACAGCUGCUGGAAAGGGAUACCUCCACCUGUAACCCUAACCAUAACCAUAAUCUAGCCCUAACCAUAACCCUGAUCCUAGCCCUACCAAUAACCAUAAAAUUACCCCUAACCAUAACUCUAAUCCUAGCCCUACCCAUAACCCUAAGCCUAGUCCUAGCCCUACCAAUAACCCUAACCAUAAAAUGACCCCUAACCAUAACUCUAAUCCUAGCCCUACCCAAUGCAAACCAUAACCCUAGGCCUACACAUAACCGUAACCAUAACCCUAACCAUAACCUUAAACCCUACACAUAACCAUACCCCUUGAUCCUAGCCCUACCAAUAACCAUAACUCUAAUCCUAGCCCUACCCAUAACCCUAAUCCUAGUCCUAGCCCUACCAAUAACCCUAACCAUAAAAUUACCCCUAACCAUAACCCUAAUCCUAGUCCUAGCCCUACCAAUAACCCUAACCAUAAAAUGACCCCUAACCAUAACUCUAAUCCUAGCCCUACCCAAUGCAAACCAUAACCCUAGGCCUACACAUAACCGUAACCCUAACCAUAACCUUAAACCCUACACAUAACCAUACCCCUUAACCAUAACCCUAACCUUAACCAUAACCGUACCCCAACCAUAACCUCACACACAACCCUAAACCCUAACAUAACCCAUCCAAACCAUAACUAUAACAUACUCCUAAUCAUAACUAUAAGCAUACCCCUGACCAUAACCAUAAGCAUAACCCUAACCUUCGCUCUACCAGGCAUGCACACUGCAGCAUUUGAAUGCGUGACUGAUGUGAACGUCUCCAAUGCAUCCACCUUUUAUUCCAGGCUAAAUUCCAACAGCAAUAGCAGGGCACCAAAAAAGGAAUUGAACUCUAUCUCACGUAACUUUUCUAUUCUCUUCAUUCCAUCCACAACGUCUCUGCUUCACCGCUGUGGUCAUCAGUGUAAGGGAUUGCAUCACUUUGAUCUGCGCUCAAGUCUGGUAUUUGACUCCUGACACACACACACCCACACACAUGAACCAGUGAUUGUGUGUUCUUGCCCCCUCCCUAAAAGCACCUUUUUCCUCAGCAACAAUGCCCACCCCCCAAGCCCCCACCCACCUCCACUGUUUUAAAUG